AUUGAACGCUAGCGGGAUGCCUUACACAUGCAAGUCGAACGGCAGCACGGACUUCGGUCUGGUGGCGAGUGGCGAACGGGUGAGUAAUGUAUCGGAACGUGCCCAGUAGCGGGGGAUAACUACGCGAAAGCGUAGCUAAUACCGCAUACGCCCUUAGGGGGAAAGCAGGGGAUCGCAAGACCUUGCACUAUUGGAGCGGCCGAUAUCGGAUUAGCUAGUUGGUGAGGUAAUGGCUCACCAAGGCCGCGAUCCGUAGCUGGUUUGAGAGGACGACCAGCCACACUGGGACUGAGACACGGCCCAGACUCCUACGGGAGGCAGCAGUGGGGAAUUUUGGACAAUGGGGGAAACCCUGAUCCAGCCAUCCCGCGUGUGCGAUGAAGGCCUUCGGGUUGUAAAGCACUUUUGGCAGGAAAGAAACGGCGCGUGCUAAUACCAUGCGCAACUGACGGUACCUGCAGAAUAAGCACCGGCUAACUACGUGCCAGCAGCCGCAGUAA
rnacentral:rRNA from 1 species